CGGUGCCAAGAGGCUUCAGGACUCGCCUACCCGUGCUAUGGACGAUUUACGUAAAGUUUUCCAGGUUCGGUGCGGGAAAGAAUCGGUCUGGUCGUCUGAGUUGGGGCUUGCACAAGCUUCUGUGGUCUUUCCUGAAAUGUAAGCCAGCCUGUAGGCUUUUUAGAGCUGAGUACAUCUUUCCUCAGAGUUCUACCACACAGGUAGAAAGGCAGGCACCAAAGACCAGCUCACUCGGACUAGUCUAAGCCAGUCUGGCAGGUGCUUUUUCCUGGCAAGUAUGGGGAGAGGCGGGACACAUGGCCUUAAAAGNNNNNNGCACCCUAGAGAAAAAGAGUCUCAGUGGCACCAAAGGCAGUCGCUUCCCAUGCUUAGGCUGGGAUCUUGAGGGCUGACCUCGGGUAGAAGGCUAUCUCACUGAGUGAUGGUCACAGGGACAGCAGGCGCUGUGUAUAAGGUCUAAUCGGAUUGAAUAGGCAGUACCACUAGAGGUAGCAAUUCAUUUUGGUGAACAGCUAGGUCCUUAAAGUGUUAGGGUGGGUGUGGGGAAACGAGGUGGGCGGGGACUAGACUGGACUCUGAGUCACUUGCCAGUGAUAAAUGGAUACAAAGCUCUGUCUAUACCUGGAAGAUAAUCACUAGGGAUAUCAGUGACCCAGAAUAGGAGAAAAACUCAAUUCUGGUCCUUUCUCUAUCCUCAAAGAAGGCAUUUGUGGUGGUUUGACUGGGAAAGCCCCCCCACCCCCCAGGCUCAGUCAUUUGAAAUCCUGGUUUCCAGUUGGAGGUACUGUUUGGAGGAAAUGUAGUUUCGAGGGACAGCCAAGUCACAGGGGCAGGCUUUGAGAGUUCAAAGACUCCCACCAUUCCUACUUUGGUCUCUGCUUCCUGCUUGUGGUUUGAGAUCUGAGCUAUCACCUUUCUACCAUGAUGGUGAUGACCUCUUACCCCUCUGGAACUGUAGGCUCAAAUACACACCUCUUUAUUU
ensembl:lincRNA